CGAAAAACCGGCGGAGUUGAGCGCCGGCAAGGAUAACCGCAGCGAUGAACCAAGGCGCACAUUCGGGCGCCAUCGAUCCGUCGCACCUCAAAAAGUUCUGAGGAAAGGUAAAAAGUUGCAAAGGCAACUUGAGUUCUUGACGGAUUCUAGGCAGGGUUUAAUGAUCCGUCAAUGCUAUAGAACGCCGUUUCAAUUACUUACAGUUA
rnacentral:sRNA from 1 species